rnacentral:rRNA from 1 species
GACGAACGCUGGCGGCGUGCUUAACACAUGCAAGUCGAACGGAAAGGCCCUGCUUUUGUGGGGUGCUCGAGUGGCGAACGGGUGAGUAACACGUGAGUAACCUGCCCUUGACUUUGGGAUAACUUCAGGAAACUGGGGCUAAUACCGGAUAGGAGCUCCUGCUGCAUGGUGGGGGUUGGAAAGUUUCGGCGGUUGGGGAUGGACUCGCGGCUUAUCAGCUUGUUGGUGGGGUAGUGGCUUACCCAGGCUUUGACGGGUAGCCGGCCUGAGAGGGUGACCGGCCACCUUGGGACUGAGGUACGGCCCAGACUCCUACGGGAGGCAGCAGUGGGGAAUAUUGCACAAUGGGCGGAAGCCUGAUGCAGCAACGCCGCGUGCGGGAUGACGGCCUUCGGGUUGUAAACCGCUUUCGCCUGUGACGAAGCGUGAGUGACGGUAAUGGGUAAAGAAGCACCGGCUAACUACGUG